rnacentral:rRNA from 1 species
GACGAACGCUGGCGGCGUGCUUAACACAUGCAAGUCGAACGGAAAGGCCCUGCUUUUGUGGGGUGCUCGAGUGGCGAACGGGUGAGUAACACGUGAGUAACCUGCCCUUGACUUUGGGAUAACUUCAGGAAACUGGGGCUAAUACCGGAUAGGAGCUCCUGCUGCAUGGUGGGGGUUGGAAAGUUUCGGCGGUUGGGGAUGGACUCGCGGCUUAUCAGCUUGUUGGUGGGGUAGUGGCUUACCAAGGCUUUGACGGGUAGCCGGCCUGAGAGGGUAGCCGGCCACAUUGGGACUGAGAUACGGCCCAGACUCCUACGGGAGGCAGCAGUGGGGAAUAUUGCACAAUGGGCGGAAGCCUGAUGCAGCAACGCCGCGUGCGGGAUGACGGCCUUCGGGUUGUAAACCGCUUUCGCCUGUGACGAAGCGUGAGUGACGGUAAUGGGUAAAGAAGCACCGACUAACUACGUG